GUAGAGGAAAGCUAUUGAUUUUUGUGUGUUGACCUUGUAACCAGUUACUUGACUGAAUUUGGUUAUUAAGUCUACAAGACUCUUGGUGGAGUUCUUGGGGUCUUCUAUAUAGAGUAUCAUAUCAUCUGCAAAUAAUGACAAUUUGACUUCUGCAUUUCCUAUUUUUAUUCCUUUUAUUUCUUUCUCUUGUGUAAUUGCCAUGGCUAAUGUUUCCAGAACUAUAUUGAACAAGAGUGGUGAUAGUGGACAUCCUUGUCUUGUUCCUGAUUUGAGCAUGAAGGAUUUCAGGUUUUGACCAUUUAGUAUGAUAUUGGCUGUUGGUUUUUCAUAAAUGGCUUCUAUCAGUUUGAGGUAGAGACCAUCUAUUCCAAUUUUUUGUAGGGUUUUUAUCAUAAAUACAUGUUGGAUUUUGUCAAAUGCCUUUUCUGUGUCUAUGGAGAUAAUCAUAUGGUUUUUGUCCUUGGCUCUAUUGAUAUAAUGUAUUACAUUGAUUGAUUUGCAUAUGUUGAACCAUCCCUGCAUCCCUUGGAUGAAUCCCACUUGAUCAGGGUAUAUGAUCUUGAUGAUCUUCUACAUUCUAUUUGCCAUUAUCUUAUUAAGGAUUUUGCAUCUAUGUUCAUUAGUGAGAUUGGCCUAUAGUUCUCCUUUUUGGGGGAUCAAGGUGAUGCUUGCUUCCAGGAAUGAAUUUGGGAGUAUUGCUUCCCUUUCAAUUUCAUUGAAGAGUUUAAACAGUAGUGGCAGCAGUUCCUCUCUAAAUGUCUUGUAGAAUACAGCACUGAAGACAUCAGGGCCUGGGCUUUUCUUAGUUGAUAAGUUAAUUACAUUUUCAAUUUCAUUGGCUGAUAUUGGGUUGUUCAGAAUUUUUAGGUCUUCUUCAUUCAACUUUGGUAAUUCAUAUGUAUCUAGGAAUCUGUCCAUUUCUUCUGUGUUGUCCAUCUUAUUGGCGUAUAGGUUUUGGAAGUAGGUAUUAAUGAUCCUCUGGAUUUCUGCUGGGUCUGUUGUAAUUUCACCCUUUUCAUUCCUAAUUGCAUGGAUUUGGGCCUUUUCUUUCCUUUUUCUGACCAGGUUGGCUAAAGGCUUGUCAAUUUUGUUGAUUCCUUCGAAGAAACAACUCUUGGCUUCAUUGAUUUUUUGUAUCUUUCUCUUAGUCUCCAUUGCGUUGAUUUCUCCUCUGAUCUUUAUAAUUUCCUCCCUUGUAUGAGCUUUGGGGUUGUCCUGCUCCUCUUUUUCUAGAAGCUUGAGGUUCAGCAUCAGGUUGUUUAAUUGGGCUCCUUCUGUUUUCCUAACAUGUGUAUUCACUGCUAUGAAUUUCUCUCAUAAUACUGGUUUCAUUGUGUCCCAUAGAUUCCAAUAUGUUCUAUUGUCAUUGUCAUUUAAUUGAAGGAACUGUCUGAUUUCUUUUUUAAUUUCCUCUGUG
rnacentral:lncRNA from 1 species